rnacentral:rRNA from 1 species
AUUGAACGCUGGCGGCAGGCCUAACACAUGCAAGUCGAGCGGAUGAGUGGAGCUUGCUCCAUGAUUCAGCGGCGGACGGGUGAGUAAUGCCUAGGAAUCUGCCUGGUAGUGGGGGACAACGUUUCGAAAGGAACGCUAAUACCGCAUACGUCCUACGGGAGAAAGCAGGGGACCUUCGGGCCUUGCGCUAUCAGAUGAGCCUAGGCCGGAUUAGCUAGUUGGUGAGGUAAAGGCUCACCAAGGCGACGAUCCGUAACUGGUCUGAGAGGAUGAUCAGUCACACUGGAACUGAGACACGGUCCAGACUCCUACGGGAGGCAGCAGUGGGGAAUAUUGGACAAUGGGCGAAAGCCUGAUCCAGCCAUGCCGCGUGUGUGAAGAAGGUCUUCGGAUUGUAAAGCACUUUAAGUUGGGAGGAAGGGCAGUAAGUUAAUACCUUGCUGUUUUGACGUUACCGACAGAAUAAGCACCGGCUAACUUCGUGCCAGCAGCCGCGGUAACAC